rnacentral:rRNA from 1 species
AUUGAACGCUGGCGGCAGGCCUAACACAUGCAAGUCGAGCGGAUGAAGGGAGCUUGCUCCUGGCUUCAGCGGCGGACGGGUGAGUAAUGCCUAGGAAUCUGCCUGGUAGUGGGGGCUAACGUCCGGAAACGGGCGCUAAUACCGCAUACGUCCUGAGGGAGAAAGUGGGGGAUCUUCGGACCUCACGCUAUCAGAUGAGCCUAGGUCGGAUUAGCUAGUUGGUGGGGUAAAGGCCUACCAAGGCGACGAUCCGUAACUGGUCUGAGAGGAUGAUCAGUCACACUGGAACUGAGACACGGUCCAGACUCCUACGGGAGGCAGCAGUGGGGAAUAUUGGACAAUGGGCGAAAGCCUGAUCCAGCCAUGCCGCGUGUGUGAAGAAGGUCUUCGGAUUGUAAAGCACUUUAAGUUGGGAGGAAGGGCAGUAAGUUAAUACCUUGCUGUUUUGACGUUACCAACAGAAUAAGCACCGGCUAACUUCGUG